rnacentral:rRNA from 1 species
AUGGACGAAAGUCUGACGCAGCCACGCCGCGUGAGUGAAGAAGGCCUUCGGGUUGUAAAGCUCUGUCGAGCGGGACGAACAGCUUUGGAGUGAAUAGCUUCAGAGCCUGACGGUACCGCUAAAGGAAGCACCGGCUAACUCCGUGCCAGCAGCCGCGGUAAUACGGAGGGUGCAAGCGUUGCUCGGAAUUAUUGGGCGUAAAGGGUAGGUAGGUGGUCUCAUUUGUCUGGGGUGAAAGCCUUGAGCUUAACUCAAGAAGUGCCCCAGAAACGGUGAGACUCGAGUACUGGAGAGGGUCGUGGAAUUCCCGGUGUAGCGGUGAAAUGCGUAGAGAUCGGGAGGAACACCAGAGGCGAAGGCGGCGACCUGGACAGUAACUGACACUCAACUACGAAAGCGUGGGGAGCAAACAGGAUUAGAUACCCUGGUAGUCCACGCUGUAAACGAUGGGUACUAGGCAUGGUGGGUCUUGACCCCCGCCGUGCCGGCGCUAACGCACUAAGUACCCCGCCUGGGAAGUACGGUCG